rnacentral:lncRNA from 1 species
GGGAAAUGGAUAAAUGUGGAGAUUUUCCUUUUUUUCAAAUUACUCAGAGUCUAGUGCAGGAAGUUUUAGAGUGAUAAAAACAAAUGCUGGGACCCACUUUCAAGGCAGAGUAGGAAAAGCAUUCAAAAAGUGUUGUCCAGCAGAAGGGAUUGUAGCAUAUAUUUCUCCUGGAAAAUCUGAGGGAACUUCUUAAUUAGAAUUGAUGUUUAAGCUGGAGCUCGAUGGAUUGGUAGGAUUUGAGAUGGAGAGGAGAGAAGAGUGAGGGUGGAAAGAUGAGAAAGGCCCAGAGUUGGCAGAAUGCAGGGUGUAUUCUGGACUGGAACCUUGGCCUAAAAAGAUUCUACAUGCAAUGGGAAAAAAAUAUGAUAAAGUAGACUGGGAUCAGGUUGUGGAGGGCUUUAAAUAGGAUGGCCCUUCUGUGUAUAAUGGGAAACUGCCAAGGAUUCUGAACAGGAGGUGCCUGGAUCUAAUCUAGUGGUAGCAUAAUGGCAGAGAAGUGCAGAUUUGGCGGUCAGAUAGAGGUUGUUGGAAUCAUGGAAUCUGUUCUCUUAGUAUUAUAAACUCAGUGAGGGCAGAAUCACGUCUGUUGUGUUUAUAUUGCCUGGCAUGUGCUGAAAAGCCAUUUGAUGAAUGGAUGAUUUCAGAAAGAGAGACAAUGAAGACCUGAACUGCAGUGACAUGGGGAGAAGGAGACUGAACACUGGAGGGAUAUCCAAGUGAUGUUUGAGUCUCCAAAAUACUGUCUGGAGGACCAGGAAGGUGGUGGUGCUAUUAAUUAAAAUAAGGAGUAUAGGCAACUCUCUAGUGAUAGAAAUUUAUGUGACAAUCCCAUACAGGGUUAGUCCAGGAGGCAUUUGGGAGUGGGGAAAGGGAAUUGGAGGUCAAAAGAGGCUGCUAGGACUAGGAAUGCAGAUGUGGAAUUUGUCUCUUUUGAGCUUAGUGAUUGAGGAGAUAAGAAUGGGUAAUAUCCUCCAGGAAGAGAGUGUUUGAGGAGAGGGUCCAGGGGUAAAACUUUGGGGAAAACAAACAUGGGAGGUAGAAGAUGAAGAGGCAGCAAAAAGCCAAGAGAAGUAGCCAGAAACUGGAGAGAACCACGAGGCUGUUUUGUGAAGGAAGCCAAGGAGGUGGUGGAAAGCAUUGAGUGCUGUGCAGAGGAUGGGGGAGUGAGAGGCUGCACUGGUCUUGUGCGGGUUGCUGAUGACUUCCUUAGAUUUAUUUCAGUCUUCUGGUUGUGGAAACCAGAUGAUAGUGAGUUGAGGUGUGAUUGGAGGCUAAGGAUGUGGAGGAAGUAAGUGUGGGCUAUUUUGAGAAAUUCUGUGGCAAAAGCAGGGCAAGAUGGGGAAGUUAUCUUGUUUUACAGGGUAGGAGGUUAGAGGAAUAAGAAUAAGUCACUGCAAGUUACUUAAUCACAGAUA